rnacentral:rRNA from 1 species
GCUUACACAUGCAAGUCGAACGGAAAGGCCCUGCUUUUGUGGGGUGCUCGAGUGGCGAACGGGUGAGUAACACGUGAGUAACCUGCCCUUGACUUUGGGAUAACUUCAGGAAACUGGGGCUAAUACCGGAUAGGAGCUCCUGCUGCAUGGUGGGGGUUGGAAAGUUUCGGCGGUUGGGGAUGGACUCGCGGCUUAUCAGCUUGUUGGUGGGGUAGUGGCUUACCAAGGCUUUGACGGGUAGCCGGCCUGAGAGGGUGACCGGCCACAUUGGGACUGAGAUACGGCCCAGACUCCUACGGGAGGCAGCAGUGGGGAAUAUUGCACAAUGGGCGGAAGCCUGAUGCAGCAACGCCGCGUGCGGGAUGACGGCCUUCGGGUUGUAAACCGCUUUCGCCUGUGACGAAGCGUGAGUGACGGUAAUGGGUAAAGAAGCACCGGCUAACUACGUGCCAGCAGCCGCGGUGAUACGUAGGGUGCGAGCGUUGUCCGGAUUUAUUGGGCGUAAAGGGCUCGUAGGUGGUUGAUCGCGUCGGAAGUGUAAUCUUGGGGCUUAACCCUGAGCGUGCUUUCGAUACGGGUUGACUUGAGGAAGGUAGGGGAGAAUGGAAUUCCUGGUGGAGCGGUGGAAUGCGCAGAUAUCAGGAGGAACACCAGUGGCGAAGGCGGUUCUCUGGGCCUUUCCUGACGCUGAGGAGCGAAAGCGUGGGGAGCGAACAGGCUUAGAUACCCUGGUAGUCCACGCUGUAAACGGUGGGUACUAGGUGUGGGGUCCAUUCCACGGGUUCCGUGCCGUAGCUAACGCUUUAAGUACCCCGCCUGGGGAGUACGGCCGCAAGGCUAAAACUCAAAGGAAUUGACGGGGCCCCGCACAAGCGGCGGAGCAUGCGGAUUAAUUCGAUGCAACGCGUAGAACCUUACCUGGGUUUGACAUGGAUCGGGAGUGCUCAGAGAUGGGUGUGCCUCUUUUGGGGUCGGUUCACAGGUGGUGCAUGGCUGUCGUCAGCUCGUGUCGUGAGAUGUUGGGUUAAGUCCCGCAACGAGCGCAACCCUUGUUCACUGUUGCCAGCACGUUAUGGUGGGGACUCAGUGGAGACCGCCGGGGUCAACUCGGAGGAAGGUGGGGAUGACGUCAAGUCAUCAUGCCCCUUAUGUCCAGGGCUUCACGCAUGCUACAAUGGCUGGUACAGAGAGUGGCGAGCCUGUGAGGGUGAGCGAAUCUCGGAAAGCCGGUCUCAGUUCGGAUUGGGGUCUGCAACUCGACCUCAUGAAGUCGGAGUCGCUAGUAAUCGCAGAUCAGCAACGCUGCGGUGAAUACGUUCCCGGGGCUUGUACACACCGCUCGUCAAGUCAUGAAAGUUGGUAACACCCGAAGCCGGUGGCCUAACCGUUGUGGGGGAGCCGUCGAAGGUGGGACUGGUGAUUAGG